CCUACGGGAGGCAGCAGUGGGGAAUAUUGGUCAAUGGGCGAGAGCCUGAACCAGCAAAGUCGCGUGAAGGAUGACGGCUCUACGGGUGGAAAACUUCUUUUGUCAGGGAGCAAUUGAGUCCACGUGUGGGCUUAGCGAGAGUACCUGAAGAAAAAGCAUCGGCUAACUCCGUGCCAGCAGCCGCGGUAAUACGGAGGAUGAGAGCGUUAUCCGGAUUUAUUGGGUUAAAGGGGUGCGUGGGCGGAAUAUCAAGUCAGCGGUAAAAAUUCGGGGCUAAACCCCGUCGUGCCGUUGAAACUGAUGUUCUUGAGUGGGCGAGAGGUAUGCGGAAUGCGUGGUGUAGCGGUGAAAUGCGUAGAUAUCACGCAGAACUCCGAUUGCGAAGGCAGCAUACCGGCGCCCAACUGACGCUGAAGCACGAAAGCGUGGGUAGCGAACAGGAUUAGAUACCCUUGUAGUC
rnacentral:rRNA from 1 species